rnacentral:tRNA from 1 species
GCCCGCGUAGCCCAAUUGGCAGAGGCGCCUGGUUCAGGGCCAGGAGGUUAGGGGUUCGAAUCCCUUCGCGGGUAC